CAUGCGACACUUUCACUUUGCAGAGAAGUCUCCAUUUUUAAAACCCAUUUGUCUAAGCAGAGAUAUGACGGCUUAUUCUGAGAGGAACUCUGACAAACACGACGAUGCUGUUUCAUUUAUGUGUUCUUACUGUUAACAGGUUCAGCCUCUCUGCAUCAGGUAGCUGAAGGCACUGAAGGAAGCUCUGUCAUCUUGAAGUGCAGUCACAGACGUAUUGUGCUUGAAGAACAACAGCUGACAGUCCACUGGAGACACAACGACACCAGGAAUGUAUUCGAUAUUAUCCAUGGGAAAGUUUCUGUAAAGGAACAAAACUCGGCCUACAAGAACAGAACAGAAGUUUUACCUGAUGAGCUUAAGAAGGGUCAAGUCUUUCUCAGACUCACCGAUCUUCAGCUCUCUGAUGGAGGAACGUAUCUCUGCUUUGUCCCAGCUCUGGGACUUGAUCACAGCACACAGCUGGUGGUCAAAGAAAGAUCAUGCAUAACAUGCACAACUGCUGAAAUAAGAAGCCACGGUUCAGGAGCAAGGAUGGGAAGGACUCUGCACUUCCUAAUUCCUUCAUCUGGAUUCAUUGUACUUUAUUUGAUUAGAUAAUGAAGCAGUGAGUGAACCAAAUGAUUGUUCCAUGAUUGCUGCUAUGGCUCAAUUCAGACUAGAUAUGCACUGAUAUACACUGAUAUGGUUGUUUACUAUUUUUAAAAAAAACAGUUUCUAGCUGUGUCCUUGUAUACUUGUAUUCUAUGUACUGCACUGCCAUGUUUUUCACACACACUGUGACUUAAAAGCGCAUUGAAAUGAGACCUGAAGAUGAAUA